rnacentral:rRNA from 1 species
AAACAUCACUAGGAGAAGUUCACUCUUAGCAGUGCCUGCCCAGUGCAAAAUUGUAAACGGCCGCCCUAGCGUGAGGGUGCCAAGGUAGCGAAAUUCCUUGCCUUUUAAUUGUAGGCCUGCAUGAAUGGAUUGACGAGGGUCAAGCUGUCUCUUGCCUUGAUGACGAAAUUGGACUAAAGGUGAAGAUACCUUUAUAGAAAAGUUAGACAAGAAGACCCCGUGCAGCUUUAAAAAAGUUACUUAUUAAGAGUUGUAAGAUUUUUAGGUGGGGCGCCUAGGAAGUAAAACUUAACCUUCUUAUUUGUUAAGAAAAAGCUCUCAGGCAUAGACCCGGCAAGUCCGAUCAUGGGAGAAGUUACGCCGGGGAUAACAGGCUUAUCCAUUAGUAGAGCUCGUAUUGGCUAAUGGGAUUGGCACCUCGAUGUUGAAUUAAGGAUGAUAGCUCUAAGGCGUAGAAGCUUUAGAAGUGGGUCUGUUCGACCUUUAAUACCUUACGUGAUC